rnacentral:rRNA from 1 species
AUUGAACGCUGGCGGCAGGCCUAACACAUGCAAGUCGAGCGGAUGAAGGGAGCUUGCUCCUGGAUUCAGCGGCGGACGGGUGAGUAAUGCCUAGGAAUCUGCCUGGUAGUGGGGGAUAACGUCCGGAAACGGGCGCUAAUACCGCAUACGUCCUGAGGGAGAAGGUGGGGGAUCUUCGGACCUCACGCUAUCAGAUGAGCCUAGGUCGGAUUAGCUAGUUGGUGGGGUAAAGGCCUACCAAGGCGACGAUCCGUAACUGGUCUGAGAGGAUGAUCAGUCACACUGGAACUGAGACACGGUCCAGACUCCUACGGGAGGCAGCAGUGGGGAAUAUUGGACGAUGGGCGAAAGCCUGAUCCAGCCAUGCCGCGUGUGUGAAGAAGGUCUUCGGAUUGUAAAGCACCUUAAGUUGGGAGGAAGGGCAGUAAGUUAAUACCUUGCUGUUUUGACGUUACCAACAGAAUAAGCACCGGCUAACUUCGUG